GGAUUAGAUACCCUGGUAGUCCACGCAGUAAACGAUGAGUGCUAGAUGUUAGAACUUGCGUUCUAGUGUCGAAGCUAACGCAUUAAGCACUCCGCCUGGGAACUACGAUCGCAAGGUUAAAACUCAAAGGAAUUGACGGGGACCCGCACAAGCGGUGGAACAUGUGGUUUAAUUCGAUGCUACGCGAAAAACCUUACCAAGUCUUGACAUGUUAGUCGUAUAGCUAAGAAAUUAGCUAGUCAGUUCGGCUGGACUAUCACAGGUGUUGCAUGGCUGUCGUCAGCUCGUGCCG
rnacentral:rRNA from 1 species